CACGUGAUUGCCUUUACAUGCUUUUUUUAUAUACAUUGUUACAAUACUGAGUUUUUUUUCUCAAAAUAUCAGUUCUCUCCCUUUGUAAAACAUUUUUCAACUUACUACUGAAAAAAAGGUGUUUUCUUCAGGAAAAAAAUGCAAAUAAAAGCCCAAUAGUAAAAUUUUCCUAAAUAAGUUAGGAAAAAUGCCAUCCUUUUCACAAUCAAGUAACAAUUUUGUAUAUGUAUAAAAUAAAAUCUAAACUUAUCUUCUGGCUACACGUAGACACACUGGAAAGGAGAAACAAUUACAUUUGGCACAAAAACAUUUUGGCAAAGUGAUUAUAUUAAUCCCUUUUGGGAGCGGCACCUGUCUUCCGGUGAAGAUAGCGGCUUUUUAGUAACGCUCCGCAGGCCCAGGAGUGAUUUCAGCUAACAACAGCGAAACUACCCACUUUACCCUUACCUGUUGCCUCUCUCCACUUCACUCAUUUAAAUGGAAACUUUAUAAUCUGUAAACUCUUUACCUAACAAAUUGACCUUAAUAGCUCACAAAGGUCCCAAUUACGUGUACUCGCUUGGGCGUCAGGCUGAAAGCCCCUAAAGGAGCCCUUGCUAAUGGACUACAUAGUAUCACCAUGUCUGCGGUGAUUUUGAAAUUUCGGAUGUUGUUACAUUAUUUCCAUCCAACCAUCGCAUCAUAUUGCACAUCUUUACCCUGUCAUUGAGAGGGAAUACCGGCUCAGUUUUUUAGAAUUAUGUAUUUCUUUUUCUGUUACCUUUGUUGUAAAUGUACGAAAACCAAAAUAAAGAAUUUUGAAAAUUUUUUUAUUAACCCUUUCAAUGCUGAUGAGCACAUUUGUACUUGUGACAAUCUGAAAAGUCACAUCAUGCUCCUGCUUCCAGAGUCUGUUUAGUACGACAUGCCAGUUUAACGCUUUUAUCACAUGAGUAAAUGUAAGCAUAAUUAGCAAGUGUGCAUGUGUGAGUCUGUGUGUGCAGGUGUGAGCUCAGAAACCACACCCCUUGAUGUUCUUUUAAUUAUACCACAUUAUUAUAUUCUUUGAAUUACACUCAAUUUAUUAAAUGGUCCAAUGCCUUAUUGCUGCUCUGGCAAGUGUAGUCAGUAAAGGGGAGAGCUGAAGUGCAGUUAUUUAUACAAAACCUUUGAGUGAAGGGAAGGUAUGAUAUUACAAGACAUUUAAACAGCAUACCACGAAACAUUAAAUAGUGGUGAAUUGGUAAUGAUAUGAUGAUGUGAAAUGCUAUAAAUAGAAAAAUAUGUUGAAUUACAGAAAUAGGUCAUAUUUGGAAGGUGAUAUGGAUGCAGUGAAUUCCCAGUAGAAAUACCCGUCAAUGAAAAAGGCACAUUUUGAGCAACGUAUACCUGUGUGUGUAUAUAUGUGUCUGGGUGUGCGUGUCCGUCAGUCAUCCUGCCUGCCUGUAUGGAUGAGUGUAUGUAUUUAUUGAGAUGAAAGUGAAAAAUUUGAGUAAAAACUUUAAAAUGUUGAAGUCGAUGGACUUGAGUCUUUUUUCUUUUUCAAUUUAGAUUGCUAUGUAAAUAUUUAUUUAAUAUUAACACUUAUUUACAUUAUUUCCUGUCUCACAAAAUCAGUUGGAUAUUAAUCCCAUAAAACCGUUACAGCUUUAAAGCUGUUGCAGUGGAAUAGAACGUCGCAACAGCUUUCAGCCCUGGAGCCUCUGGG